CCGGCCCGCCCCGCGCCGCGCCGCGCCCGCCCUUCCCGGCACCUCCCUCCGCGCGCUCUUCCCGGCGCCUCCCGAGGCCUCCUCACCGCUGGUCCCGGCCUGGCGCAGCCGGCGCUUUCUAGGGAGAGCCUCCCACCCGGAAGGUAGCCUGGCAACUCCAGGCCCGGACCCCCAGAAGUCCUUUUUGUAUGGCCUUUGGGCACGGAGACCCCGGACCCCCGACGGGAAGGAGGGGCGGAGACUCGGGGAACAGCCCGCGGCGGGGAAAGGCGGGCGGAGGGCAGGCUUGUUGUACGCCAGUCCUGGUGCUCAGAGCGUCAUAGUUAGAUCCACCUCUUCACUGUGCUCGGACAGUUAGUAUUUUAAAUUCCUCAUUCUGUAAGAUCCAUGCCUGCACCCAAUGAAGUGAGAAGACGGCAUCAGAGCUCCUAGAACUAGGGCCACCAACAUUUGUGAGCUUCCGGAAGUGUGACCAGACCGGGCGGUGGGAUGGAAGACCCAUUACAGAGCUUCACAUGCUGUUCCAGGCCUGUUCUAACAGGAUACCAUUGCUUUAAUGAGAGAGAGAGAGAGAACAUGAAAUCUGUGUGGUGAGGAUCUGGGAGAAAAUAGAAGAAGGUGAGCUUGCGUUCUCGGGGACGACGGUCAAUGUUAAAGGCAGAGGAAGCAGGAGCCAGCACACAUCUCGG
ensembl:lncRNA LOC108353164 uncharacterized LOC108353164